GGGUAAAUAGGCAUCUAUGCAUUGUAAAGUUAUAAAGAAAUCCGAAGAAAAUUUUGCAGGCCCAUCUAUAUUGAUUAAUUCUACAAGAUUACAAAGACCGGAACUGAUUUUGAAAAUCAUUUCAAGCUGAUGAAAUUCAAAGAACUGCUUUAAGAAUUUCCAGCUGUAAAAUAGAAGAAAUUCAAUUACCAAAAGAAAAUUUAUGGACUCGCUAGUCAACAACUUGAAUUAUAAAAUAUGCAUUUUUGAAAAUUCGGCGUAGAAUGGAUUUGCCUUGUCUCGCAUCGAUUUUCACCGUCUGCAUGCAUGCGCCCUUCCAGUGUUCUGGAGACAUACCGAAUUGCUGAUCAGGCCGCGCCCGUGGGUUCGUCGUUGCUGUGCCUAAUUACCGGAUUUAGAACUCAAAUCAAUUAGGAAGAUGUUUAUGCUACGUAUUUUUAUCUCCAUCUACAUCCACAGAAGAGCG